rnacentral:rRNA from 1 species
AUCGAACGCUGGCGGCAGGCCUAACACAUGCAAGUCGAACGAGUGGCGGACGGGUGAGUAAUGUCUGGGAAACUGCCCGAUGGAGGGGGAUCACUACUGGAAAAGGUCGCCAAAACCGCCUACUCUCAGAUGUGCCUAGAUGGGAUGAGCGUGUUGGCGGGGUAACGGCUCACCAAGGCGACGAUCCCUAGCUGGUCUGAGAGGAUGACCGGCCACACUGGGACUGGGACACGGUCCAGACUCCUACGGGAGGCAGCAGUGGGGAAUAUUGCGCAAUGGGCGCAAGCCUGAUGGAGCAAUGCCGCGUGUAUGAUGAAGGCCUUCGGGUUGUAAAGUACUUUCAGCGGGGAGGCGGGUCCCGGAGAAGAAGGACCGGCUAACUCCGUGGCAGGAGCCCCGGUAAUACC